UCUCAUGAACUAAAUUCCUCACCUACUGCCCCAGUAAGAGGAUUUUAUCGGACGAGGGGCUCAAGCACGAGUACCUCCGCGAGACGCCGCUGCCCAUCGACCCGUCCAUGUUCCCCACCUGGCCCGCCAAGAGCGAGCAGCAGAGGGUGAAGAGAGGCACCAGCCCUCGCCCACCCGAGGGAGGCCUGGGCUACAGUCACCUGGGUGACGAUGACCUCAAAGACACAGGCUUCCAUCUGACGACCAGCAACCAGGGGGUGUCUGCAGUCGGUCCUGGAUUCAGCCUCAAAUUCUGAGCCCAGAAACAGCUGGACACCUGGCUGUCUGACAGAGCGAGAGCAAAGAAAGUUCUGUGAAUUGUUUCUUCUUUUGGAAUUGGACAGUGUCGCUGGUUUACAGCUGUGAACCAGAGCGAAAUCUGACCGGUUACAACUGUUACCAGAUAGUCAGGACUGUCUCACAGCAAGACUGGUGGCUCAAACAUGUUGAAUCUCCAGAAAUGUCCCUGCAACCUUUUCGGCUUCUUCUAUGUUUUUUACAAACCAUUUCACCUUUUUAAACGUGGUCAUUUUAGCUCUUAACAGGAGACACAACCAUUAACCUUUUUAGAAGUUUAGCUCUCAUGUUUUUCUUUAUUUUCCCUUUUUAUACUUCAUGAGAGGGCCAGCUUUUCUAAAUGGUUGGUAUUUCCUGGCUGCCUGAGCUACUGUAUAACGAUGCUUUCAUCCAGUAUUAUGUUAGAAAUAUACUGUCAAUGUCACUCCAUGACGUGGGCGAUGUUAUUGCUCAAAAUAAAGUUUGAAACUUUGUUUUGUCUGACGCUUUCCAUAUAUUUAUAUACCCUGUCCAAGCUAUCCAAACAGAACCGCACGCUUCCAAAACAGAAAAAAAAAACGAAGGGAAGUCGAGCCUACAAAAAAAAAAUCCAUACUUGAACCCAACUCGGUAGUCGCUGUCCAACAGUGAUGUCAUUCUUUGCACUGCACACUUUGUCUCAGUACUUUGUUCUUUCAGGGGAAAGAGACCCAGACUUCACUCUGCCUGUUUGAAUGUUGAAUUGCUCUGCGACUUCAGAAUCAAACCAAUAAAUUCUUUGAUUUUGAGCCGAAGGAAAAUAAACCAUACAUUACAUUCCGCUCGCUGCUUUCGCAGAAAAACAAACCCAUUGUCUUGGGAUGUAUAGAGCCAGCUCUAAAUGUUCAUUAAUCAGUUUUAUCUAUCCCCUUCUGCAGAUUAUUACACCUGAUGUGUUGAAUAACCUUGGAAAGAGAGCUGCUAGUGGAAUCGACUGCUCUGGAUCUCUGGAGGCAGACUGCUGGCUUCACUGUGAGGCUAGUAAACUGUCCCAGAAAGCAACGCAGGUUCUGGCCCAGGCUCUCGUCAUCUCACGCCUAGUCUACUGUAACUCCCUCCUGGCUGGUCUACCUGCAUGUGCCAUCCGACC